CGUGGGUAACCUGCCCAAGAGAUCGGGAUAACACCUGGAAACAGAUGCUAAUACCGGAUAACAACAGAUGAUGCCUAUCAACUGUUUAAAAGAUGGUUCUGCUAUCACUCUUGGAUGGACCUGCGGUGCAUUAGCUAGUUGGUAGGGUAACGGCCUACCAAGGCGAUGAUGCAUAGCCGAGUUGAGAGACUGAUCGGCCACAUUGGGACUGAGACACGGCCCAAACUCCUACGGAGGCAGCAGG
rnacentral:rRNA from 1 species